rnacentral:rRNA from 1 species
AAGAAGGCCUUCGGGUUGUAAAGCACUUUCAGCGGGGAGGAAGGCGUUAAGGUUAAUAACCUUGGCGAUUGACGUUACCCGCAGAAGAAGCACCGGCUAACUCCGUGCCAGCAGCCGCGGUAAUACGGAGGGUGCAAGCGUUAAUCGGAAUUACUGGGCGUAAAGCGCACGCAGGCGGUCUGUCAAGUCGGAUGUGAAAUCCCCGGGCUCAACCUGGGAACUGCAUUCGAAACUGGCAGGCUAGAGUCUUGUAGAGGGGGGUAGAAUUCCAGGUGUAGCGGUGAAAUGCGUAGAGAUCUGGAGGAAUACCGGUGGCGAAGGCGGCCCCCUGGACAAA